UGGAAGACAAAACUCUCACCCAUCAAAGGUACUGAAAGCCGAGAUCACUUCAAUCCGAAGAGUUUGCCAAUCCUUUGAUCCUUAUAAAGUACUUCACUACUACAAUUUGUUGAUCACCAAAGGAGAUGUUUCUAUAUAGCCAAGGAGAAAGAUGAAUGGUUCCGUUCUUGAUUGGUUGAUUGGAAGUACAAAUUUGAGUGAAGAGAGCUGGGAUGACUCGCUAGGUAUGGCAGUUCACUUGUUUCUAAGAGGAAAAGUUAAGAGAUGGAGCUUACAUGAAGAAGACUGGUGUGCAGAAGUAUGGCAAAGGCAAUUGGAAGUUUAUCUUAAAUACAUACAGAGAGUCAGAGAUGUGAGAUGUAUUUGAAGAAAGAAAUGAGGUUGAUCCAAAGGACAAGUGGAGAAAUAUGUGGAAGUAGAGGCACCUGUGAAUAGUCUGCUACUCGGUUGAUUUUUUGUAUAUAUUGAUGCCUUGUGCCUAUGAAUUGUAAUAAAGCCAACCAUUGUGGUUAA